rnacentral:misc_RNA from 1 species
CCGAGUUAUACAACUCCUCAACCCUGUGAACAUACCUAAACUUGUUGCCUUCGGCGGAUACAGCCGCGCCCUGUAAAACGGGACGCCCCGCCAGAGGACCCCUAACUCUGUUUCUAUAAUGUACUUCUGAGUAAACCAGAAAUAAAUCA